AUGGUGAAACAGCCCUCGUCUCAUUAACAGCCACCUUCAAUUUUCUCAGAAAAUUAGCAGGGUGUCAAACUGCCUGCUAACCCUAAAAAAGGCAACACGGACCUUCUACAGAAACCAGUUGCUUGUCUGCAGGGCUGGUGGCAGGCGAUCUACACGUCUGAAGCGUGGGAUGUGAAGGGAGCAAGAAAAUGCAUGAGAUAAAAAAAAAGAUGAUGGAAAGGAUCAAGAUGGGAUGGAGAGAAGGGAAGACAGAAAAGGAGAGGGAGGGCUGGUGGCUUUUCUUUUGUCUUGAGCUGCAGCCUGUUUCAUUAGCACACCAGCCAGCCCACCCCACUCCUCCUCCUCUUCCACCUCCUCCUCGCUGGCUCCCCAGCCCAGACGAUUUGAUGGUGAACGCACGAGUCGGUUUGUGGGUUUGUUUGAUCAAGCUGUCAUACAAGAACCUCAUUCUGUCACACGCACAGUGACAGAGAAACAACAGGGAUGAGAGACAGACCGAAAUUAUUAGGAAGGGUGAGAUCCCUCUCUGGAUCGCUCUCUAUCUCAGUGUCUCCUCUUGAAACUUGUUUAGCAGUGAGGAUUCAAUCUGCUGCUUGAUGUGGUACGAGGAGAAGUAAUUACAGAAGGAAAGAACAAAGCAAAGCCUCCGCUGA